CGGGUGCACUGAUCCGGCCGGGCCUUUCCCUCUGUGGAACCCCAUGGCCUUCACUGGCUGUGCGGGGGAAACAGGACUUUUACUGUGAAAAAAUUAGAGUGCUCCAGGCAGGCCUAUGCUCGAAUACAUUAGCAUGGAAUAAUAGAAUAGGACGCGUGGUUCUAUUUUGUUGGUUUCUAGGACCGCCGUAAUGAUUAAUAGGGACAGUCGGGGGCAUCAGUAUUCAAUUGUCAGAGGUGAAAUUCUUGGAUCUAUUGAAGACUAACUACUGCGAAAGCAUUUGCCAAGGAUGUUUUCAUUGAUAAGGAACGAAAGUUAGGGGAUCGAAGACGAUCAGAUACCGUCGUAGUCUUAACUAUAAACUAUGCCGACUAGGGAUCGGACGAUGUUAUUUCUUGACGCGUUCGGCACCUUUCGAGAAAUCAAAGUGCUUGGGCUCCAGGGGGAGUAUGGUCGCAAGGCUGAAACUUAAAGAAAUUGACGGAAGGGCACCACCAGGGGUGGAACCUGCGGCUUAAUCUGACUCAACACGGGGAAACUCACCAGGUCCAGACACAGUGAGGAUUGACAGAUUGAGAGCUCUUUCUUGAUUCUGUGGGUGGUGGUGCAUGGCCGUUCUUAGUUGGUGGAGUGAUUUGUCUGCUUAAUUGCGAUAACGAACGAGACCUUAACCUGCUAAAUAGCCCGUACUGCGCUGGCAGUUCGCCGGCUUCUUAGAGGGACUAUCGGG
rnacentral:rRNA from 1 species